CCCUUAGAUGUCCUGGGCUGCACGCGCGCUACACUGAUGUGUCCAGUAAGCACCUAACCUAUUCCGAGAGGAGCGGGUAACCUUAGCAAAGCACAUCGUGAUGGGGAUAGAUUAUUGCAAUUAUUAGUCUUGAACGAGGAAUUCCUAGUAAGCACAAGUCAUCAGCUUGUGUUGAUUACGUCCCUGCCCUUUGUACACACCGCCCGUCGCUCCUACCGAUUGAAUGUUCCGGUGAGCUCUUCGGACUGCGCGGUCUGCAGUUUCUGCGUUCCGUGCGGAAAGUUGUGCAAACCUUAACAUUUAGAGUAAGGAGAAGUCGUAACA
rnacentral:rRNA from 1 species